rnacentral:rRNA from 1 species
AUUGAACGCUGGCGGCAUGCUUUACACAUGCAAGUCGAACAGUAACAGGCCGCAAGGUGCUGACGAGUGGCGAACGGGUGAGUAAUGCAUCGGAACGUGCCCAGUCGUGGGGGAUAACUACUCGAAAGAGUAGCUAAUACCGCAUACGAUCUAUGGAUGAAAGCGGGGGACCGUAAGGCCUCGCGCGAUUGGAGCGGCCGAUGUCAGAUUAGGUAGUUGGUGGGGUAAAGGCUCACCAAGCCAACGAUCUGUAGCUGGUCUGAGAGGACGACCAGCCACAUCGGGACGGAGACCCGGCCCAGACCCCGACGGGAGGGAGGGGGGGGAAAUUUGGAAAAAGGGGCGAAAGCCUGAUCCAGGCUGGCCGCGGGCAGGAAGAAGGCCUUCGGUUUGUAACCUGCUUUUGUACGGAACAAAACGGCUUUGGUUAAUCCCCGGGGCAAAUGACGGUCCCGUAAGAAUAAGCACCGGCUAACUACGU